rnacentral:rRNA from 1 species
UACGUAGGGGGCAAGCGUUGUCCGGAGUUACUGGGCGUAAAGCGCGCGUAGGCGGCUUUGUAAGUUAGAGGUGAAAGCCCGGAGCUCACUCCGGAACUGCCUUUAAAACUGCAUCGCUUGAAUCCAGGAGAGGUGAGUGGAAUUCCGAGUGUAGAGGUGAAAUUCGUAGAUAUUCGGAAGAACACCAGUGGCGAAGGCGGCUCACUGGACGUGGUAU